UACGUAGGGGGCGAGCGUUGUCCGGAAUCAUUGGGCGUAAAGAGCGUGUAGGCGGCUUGGCAAGUCUGACGUGAAAGCCCGCGGCUCAACCGCGGAUUGUCGUUGGAAACUGCCUCGCUAGAGUCCGGAAGAGGAGAGCGGAAUUCCUGGUGUAGCGGUGGAAUGCGCAGAUAUCAGGAAGAACACCCGUGGCGAAGGCGGCUCUCUGGGACGGUACUGACGCUGAGACGCGAAAAGCGUGGGGAGCGAACAGG
rnacentral:rRNA from 1 species